rnacentral:rRNA from 1 species
GGGUAGUGUAGUUAACACCUGCAUUAUUUGACGUUACCUACAGAAGAAAGCACCGGCUAACUCCGUGCCAGCAGCCGCGGUAAUACGGAGGGUGCGAGCGUUAAUCGGAAUUACUGGGCGUAAAGCGCAUGUAGGCGGCCUGUUAAGUCAGAUGUGAAAGCCCGGGGCGUUAACCUCGGAAUUGCAUUUGUAAACUAGGCAGGCUAGAGUCUUGUAGAGGGGGGUAGGAAGUUUCUAGGUGUAGCGGUGAAAUAGCGUAGAGAUCUGAAGGAAUACCAGUGGCGAAGGCGGCCCCCUCGGACAAAGACUGACGCUCAGAUGCGAAAGCGUGGGGAGCAAACAGGAUUAGAUACCCUGGUAG